CUGACUGACCGAUAGUGAACCAGUACCGUGAGGGAAAGGCGAAAAGAACCCCUGUAAGGGGAGUGAAAUAGAACCUGAAACCGUGUACGUACAAGCAGUGGGAGCACCCUCGUGGUGUGACUGCGUACCUUUUGUAUAAUGGGUCAGCGACUUACAUUCUGUAGCGAGGUUAACCGAAUAGGGGAGCCGUAGGGAAACCGAGUCUUAACUGGGCGUCUAGUUGCAAGGUGUAGACCCGAAACCGGGUGAUCUAGCCAUGGGCAGGUUGAAGGUUGAGUAACAUCAACUGGAGGACCGAACCCACUAACGUUGCAAAGUUAGGGGAUGACCUGUGGCUGGGGGUGAAAGGCCAAUCAAACUCGGAAAUAGCUCGUACUCCCCGAAAUGCAUUUAGGUGCAGCGAUGAUCAUAGUUACUUAGAGGUAGAGCUACUGAUUGGAUGCGGGGGCUUCACCGCCUACCAAUUCCUGACAAACUCCGAAUGCUAAUUAAUGAUAAUCAUCAGUGAGGGCAUGGGUGCUAAGGUCCAUGUCCGAGAGGGAAAGAACCCAGACCAUCAGCUAAGGUCCCCAAAUGUAUGCUAAGUUGAAAAAACGCGGUUUGAUUGCCCAGACAGCUAGGAUGUUGGCUUGGAAGCAGCCAUUCAUUUAAAGAGUGCGUAACAGCUCACUAGUCGAGCGAUCGAGCAUGGAUAAUAAUCGGGCAUAAGUAUACUACCGAAGCUAUGGAUUUGCGCAUUAAAUUGCGUGAGUGGUAGGGGAGCAUUCUAACGGCGCAGAAGGUGAUUUGUGAGAAUUGCUGGAGCUUUUAGAAAAGAAAAUGUAGGCAUAAGUAACGAUAAGGGGUGCGAGAAACACCCCCGCCGUAAGACUAAGGUUUCCUCAGCUAUGCUAAUCAGCUGAGGGUUAGUCGGGACCUAAGGCACACCCGAAGGGGGACGUCGAUGGCCAACGGGUUAAUAUUCCCGUACUACUAAUAAUUGUGAUGGAGUGACACAGUGAUGAAAGCACCGCGAACUGACGGAAUAGUUCGUUGAAGCACGUACCUAUAGGUUUGAUAGUAAAAUGCGUCGAACUUGGAGAAAUGCGAUAGUACUUUGAGUCUUCGGACAACGAGAUAGUGUGCCUAAGGGCUGUCAAGAAAAGCUUCUAAACUUAGAUUAUUAGUACCCGUACCGUAAACCGACACAGGUAGUCGAGGAGAGUAUCCUAAGGCGCUCGAGAGAUUCAUGGCUAAGGAACUAGGCAAAAUAGACCUGUAACUUCGGGAGAAAGGUCGCCAGCGCAAGCUGGCCGCAGUGAAAAGGUCCAGGCGACUGUUUAUCAAAAACACAGGGCUCUGCAAAAUCGUAAGAUGAAGUAUAGGGCCUGACACCUGCCCGGUGCUGGAAGGUUAAGAGGAGAUGUUAUCU
rnacentral:rRNA from 1 species